UAAAAGAUAAGCUAAAAAAGCUAAUGGGCUCAUAUCUCAUUUAUGAUAAAUUCUCUUUUAA
rnacentral:tRNA from 1 species